rfam:Pyronema omphalodes CBS 100304, CBS100304, WGS project CATG01000000 data, contig: Pcon_v1_contig206
GGUCGCUUAGCUCAGUUGGUUAGAGCGUGGUGCUAAUAGCUCAUCUACGAUACGCCAAGGUCGCAGGUUCGACCCCUGCAGUGAUCA